rnacentral:rRNA from 1 species
GACGAACCGUGCGAACGUUGUUCGGAAUCACUGGGCUUAAAGGGCGCGUAGGCGGGCUGUCCAGUCUGGGGUGAAAUCCCGCGGCUCAACCGUGGAACUGCCUCAGAUACUGACGGCCUCGAGGGAGAUAGGGGCAUGCGGAACUGUAGGUGGAGCGGUGAAAUGCGUUGAUAUCAUCAGGAACUCCGGUGGCGAAGGCGGCUC